UACGUAGGGUGCAAGCGUUGUCCGGAAUUAUUGGGCGUAAAGAGCUCGUAGGCGGUUUGUCGCGUCGAAUGUGAAAACCCGGGGCUCAACCCCGGGCCUGCAUUCGAUACGGGCAGACUAGAGUUCGGUAGGGGAGACUGGAAUUCCUGGUGUAGCGGUGAAAUGCGCAGAUAUCUGGAGGAAUACCGGUGGCGAAGGCGGCAUCCUGGACCAUAACUGACGCUGAGGCGCGAAAGCUAGGGGAGCAAACGGG
rnacentral:rRNA from 1 species